rnacentral:rRNA from 1 species
UACGGAGGGGACUAGCGUUGUUCGGAAUUACUGGGCGUAAAGCGCGCGUAGGCGGAUCGUUAAGUCAGGGGUGAAAUCCUGGGGCUCAACCCCAGAACUGCCCUUGAUACUGGCGGUCUUGAGUUCGAGAGAGGUGAGUGGAAUUCCGAGUGUAGAGGUGAAAUUCGUAGAUAUUCGGAGGAACACCAGUGGCGAAGGCGGCUCACUGGCUCGAUACUGACGCUGAGGUGCGAAAGCGUGGGGAGCAAACAGGAUUAGAAACCCUCGUAGUCC